AGCGAACGCUGGCGGCAGGCUUAACACAUGCAAGUCGAGCGGGCCCUUCGGGGUCAGCGGCCGACGGGUGAGUAACACGUGGGAACGUACCCUUUGGUUCGGAAUAACGCUGGGAAACUAGCGCUAAUACCAGAUACGCCCUUUUGGGGAAAGGCUUGCUGCCGAAGGAUCGGCCCGCGUCUGAUUAGCUAGUUGGUGGGGUAAUGGCCUACCAAGGCGACGAUCAGUAGCUGGUCUGAGAGGAUGAUCAGCCACACUGGGACUGAGACACGGCCCAGACUCCUACGGGAGGCAGCAGUGGGGAAUAUUGGACAAUGGGCGCAAGCCUGAUCCAGCCAUGCCGCGUGAGUGAUGAAGGCCUUAGGGUUGUAAAGCUCUUUUGUCCGGGACGAUAAUGACGGUACCGGAAGAAUAAGCCCCGGCUAACUUCGUG
rnacentral:rRNA from 1 species